rnacentral:rRNA from 1 species
GAUGAACGCUAGCUACAGGCUUAACACAUGCAAGUCGAGGGGCAGCAUGAACUUAGCUUGCUAAGUUUGAUGGCGACCGGCGCACGGGUGAGUAACGCGUAUCCAACCUGCCCUUUACUCGGGGAUAGCCUUCUGAAAGGAAGUUUAAUACCCGAUGAAUUCGUUUAGUCGCAUGGCUUGAUGAAGAAAGAUUUAUCAGUAAAGGAUGGGGAUGCGCCCCAUUAGCUUGUUGGCGGGGUAACGGCCCACCAAGGCGACGAUGGGUAGGGGUUCUGAGAGGAAGGUCCCCCACAUUGGAACUGAGACACGGUCCAAACUCCUACGGGAGGCAGCAGUGAGGAAUAUUGGUCAAUGGGCGCGAGCCUGAACCAGCCAAGUAGCGUGGAGGACGACGGCCCUACGGGUUGUAAACUCCUUUUAUAAGGGGAUAAAGUUGGCCAUGUAUGGCCAUU